GACGAACGCUGGCGGCGUGCCUAAUACAUGCAAGUAGGACGCAGUUGCGAACGGGUGAGUAACGCGUAGGUAACUACCUAUUAGAGGGGGAUAACUAUUGGAAACGAUAGCUAAUACCGCAUACUAGUAGAUGGACCUGCGUUGUAUUAGCUAGUAGGUAGGAUAAUGGCCUACCUAGGCAACGAUACAUAGCCGACCGUGGAGGGUGAUCCGCCACACUGGGACUGGGACACGGCCCAGACUCCGACGAGAGGCAGCAGUAGGGAAGCUUCGGCAAUGGGGGGAACCCUGACCGGGCAACGCCGCGUGAAUGACGAAGGUUUUCGGAUCGUAAAGCUUUGUUGUUAAGGAAGCGGUACUUAACCAGAAAGGGACGGCUAACUACGUGCCAGCAGCCGCGGUAAUAC
rnacentral:rRNA from 1 species